AUUGAACGCUGGCGGUAUGCCUUACACAUGCAAGUCGAACGGUAGAGGGGCACCCCUUGAGAGUGGCGAACGGGUGAGUAAUACAUCGGAACGUGCCCAGUCGUGGGGGAUAACGUAGCGAAAGCUACGCUAAUACCGCAUACGACCCGAGGGUGAAAGCGGGGGAUCGCAAGACCUUGCGCGAGUGGAGCGGCCGAUGGCAGAUUAGGUAGUUGGUGGGGUAAAGGCCGACAAAGCCUGCGAUCGGUAGCUGGUUUGAGAGGACGACCAGCGACAGUGGACUGAGACACGGACCGGACUCCGACGGGAGGCAGCAGGGAGGAAUAUUGGUCAAUAGACGCGAGGCUGAGCCAGCCAUUCCGCGUGAAGGGUGAAGGGUCGAUGGAUUGUAAACUGAUUUUAAUUGGGUAUAAAUCCCUUUACGUGUAGAGGGCUGAAGGUACCAAAUGAAUAAGCGCCGGCUAACUCCGUGCCAGCCGCCGCGGUAAUAC
rnacentral:rRNA from 1 species